CGACCUAGUCCGCCCAGCACUAAGCCGAACGACCCCCCCUUUUCAAUUACCCUUUAUUCUCCAUCUCCCCAAAAACCCUAAAGACGCCAACCCUCAUUUUCUCCAAGUCGUCGCCCGCCACCCUCACCGAUAACACCAGUCCCGUUCACCCUCUUGUCCACCUACAACCCCUGACCUCCAUCCGUUUCUGCUCUUUCGUCACUCGUCAAACACCAAAAGUCCAGCUCCACGCCGACCAGACCUCACCACGCCAAGAACCAGCAAUCACCUGAGCGACCAGCUCUGCCCCGCCAGUGACCUGCACCAGAAACAUGCACACGAUGAAGCAGCAAAUUUGUUCGACGCUAGAUAUUGAGUUUCGUUUGAGCCGAGGUUGAGUCCAGUUUCAGUUCAGUCACCAGUUCAAGUUUGGGUUCGAUAAAUUCAUAUUCUUCUCUUUCUCUUGUUCCGAUUAGAAUUGAGUUUUGGUUACUCUUGAUUUUGUUUUUCUUUGUAUUGCUAAUUAUCUUGAAUUUGCCCUGUAUUAUGUGUCAAUGAAUUAUGUUCCAUACCUCUGUCGUUUGGGAUUAAUUCAGGGAUUAAUUCAUUCCAUACGUAGUUAAUUGUUGUAUCGGGUUUAAAAUAGUCCCAAUUCCAUUGUUUCUACAAAUCUGGUUUUGAGUUGUUAAUACUGAUACAUUAGUGAUUUCUACUGCUACUGCUGACUGACUCACUUUGACUUCCAGUUUGAUCUUUUUGUUUUACUGCUAUACUCAGGUACACAUUCUGAAUCUCCUAUGAUGUAGGCUUCAAUUUGAAGAAGGGAAUAAAAGGCAAUGUUGAAAUUUUGGACAAUAGUUUUACUUGUGUCAUAAGCUCUACUUCUUUUGAUGAUGUUUUUUGAUUUAGUCAUUUUGAGUUGAGUCGUAUUAAAAUUGAGCAUGCUUACUUAGGUGUUUUUAGUAUGAGGUUCGAAUAAGGUUUGAAUUCCAUAGCCUAUCCUAUUGAGUGGUCGUUGUCUAUUCAGAAAAUUUUUGAAAUUACCUUUCGAGGGUGCUAAUAGACUCGUUUCAUAUUGUAGUUGACAGCUUAAAUCAUGGAUUGUUGGAACGUUGUAUUAAGAGCUGUAAAAUAAUUAAAGUUUCAUAUUCAAAGUUAAAGAUUCAUUGUGAAUUAAUUUUUUUGUAAAAUUUUGACGUUUCUUGCUAUUUUCUUUUAACAGUGUGUUUCAGCUUAUAUCAAUAUUGCUAGUGAAUGGAUUUGUGAGCUAGUAUAACUUUACUGUUGAGUUUAGUAAUUAGUUGCAAAAUGUUGGUUUCUUGUUUAAUUUUUUCUGGACAUAUGUAUGUGGAAUUGUUAUUCCAAUUGUUGAGUUCAUUUGGUCCGUUGGUUUUAUGCUAAGGUUUUUGUAAGGCCCCGUGAAAUGAG
rnacentral:lncRNA from 1 species